CUGGAAAACAGUAACGUUAAGGGAAAGACCCUCAGACAUGUCAUAACAGGAUAAAGGCUGCAGACUCACCAAGGAUCCAUAUGAUUACUGGCAAUUUGGUGGAGGAUUUUUCUUUAGCUGCUAUCACUUCUGGAUCGUACAGAGAGCAGACAAGAAGUGAAGAGGGAGCAAGAGGAAGCGAUGGCAUCGGAGCAGACCUCAAGCUGGGACUCUACUAGAGCAAUG